rnacentral:misc_RNA from 1 species
GGAAGGAUCAUUAACACGUAUCCACGUAAACACCCACCGUGAACCCAUUUCACCAGCUCCCUUUGCAAAGAAUGAAUGGAAUGAGUAGAGUUGAUAAUUGUGGGGUGCUGCAAAGCGCCGGACUCUAUGAUACUACUUAUUCGAGGCUGAAAGGCUUCGAAUAGACAUUGGAUCUUUGUUAAAGGUUAAUCUCAUCGAUACAUCUCCCAAUUAUUGAUCUGUCGAUGGGAACCAUAUUCACCUAUUUCACCCCCUUUUUGCUAGUUGACUUUCUAUGUGUUACUAGUACUUCGGUUACUGUUCACACGUUUAUUAAUUGAACGUUAAAAAAAUACAACUCUUAGCAAUGGAUAUCUUGGUUCUCGCAACGAUGAAGAACGCAGCGAAAUGCGAUACGUAAUGCGAAUUGCAGAAUUCAGUGAAUCAUCAAAUCUUUGAACGCAAAUUGCGCUCUUGGGUAGCCCUAGGAGCACGCUUCUCUCAGUAUCGGUUCAAAAAUCACUCAGCAGCGUUUGGCAACAGACGUGUGGCUGGAGAAUGAGAGUCUGAGCUUGCUCAGUCUCUUUAAAUACAUGGAGUAAAUAUAGCUAGCGAUCAAUUCUGUUUCGGCAGAUAGUCAGUUUUAACUGUCGCUCGAUAGUGAUGUGAAUACUGGCCUUUAUGGUCUCCUUUUACAUGUGUCUAUGGAGCGAUAUCAAAAGUUGGAAUUGGCGAACGUUCGUUGGUUUUCUGUAUUUAUGCGAGCACACCAUAUGAUUCCUUCAUUGGAAUCUGAAUUUUGAUCUGAGAUGAAGCGAGACAACCCCCUGAAUUUAAGCAUAUUAAUAAGGGGAGGAAAAGAAACUAACAAGGAUUCCCCCAGUAACGGCGAGUGAAGCGGGAAGAGCUCAAUUUGAAAAUCGAUUACCUAAACGGGUCAUCGAGUUGUAGCCUAGAGACGUACUAUCAGCUGAAACCUGGGUAUAAGUUCUUUGGAAUAAGGCAUCAUAGAGGGUGAGAAUCCCGUUUAUGACCCAAAGCUUUCAGCGUACGAUGUAUGUUCAUCGAGUCGAGUUGUUUGGGAUUGCAGCUCUAAAUGGGUGGUAAGUUUCAUCUAAAGCUAAAUAAUGGCGAGAGACCGAUAGCGAACAAGUACCGUGAGGGAAAGAUGAAAAGAACUUUGAAAAGAGAGUUAAAAGUACUUGAAAUUGCUAAGAGGGAAGCGCUAGAAACCAGUGAUACGCUAAGUCAAUCGCUUUCAGCCCCACUAGUUUGUUUAAGUAAUGCGCAAGCUUGCUUGAGCCAACGAAAGGGUGGUUGGAGGUUUAUGAUUUAGUGUCAGUCAAGAUCAAUUCGAUCUGGGGGAGAAGGUAGCGAGAAAGGUAGGAGAGCAAUCUCUGUUAUAUUCUUGUUACUCUACCUCGGGUUGGAUUGAGGAAGUAAUGGUGCGCCGCUUGCGGCUUGGUCCUGCGUUUCUAUUGUCCUAUUCGCUCUCAUAGCAAUGCUAUGUCUGUGGAAAAAGGCAAUACUGGGCGUAGUGAUUCUAUGUGCCAUCACGAUCUUGUACGAAAUGGUUUCUAUCGACCCGUCUUGAAACACGGACCAAGGAGUCUAACAUCUAUGCAAGUAUUUGGGUGCAAAACCCUGAUGCGUAAUGAAAGUAAAGGCAGACUUGUUCUGCUGAGGUAGGAAUCCUGCAAGGGAGGCACUAUCGACCGAUCAUCACUUGUGAAAGAUUUGAGUAAGAGCAUAUCUGUUGGGACCCGAAAGAUGGUGAUCUAUGCCUGAACAGGGUGAAGCCAGGGGAAACUCUGGUGGAGGCUCGUAGCGAUACUGACGUGCAAAUCGUUCGUCUGAUUUGGGUAUAGGGGCGAAAGACUAAUCGAACCAUCUAGUAGCUGGUUCCCUC